GUCUACGGCCAUGCCACCCUGAACGUGCCUGAUCCCGUCUGAUCUCAGAAGCUAAGCAGGGUUGGACCUGGUUAGUACUUGGAUGGGAGAACACCUAUGAAGACCGGGUGCUGUAGGCA
rnacentral:rRNA from 1 species